UACGAAGGGGGCUAGCGUUGUUCGGAAUUACUGGGCGUGAAGCGUGCGCAGGCGGCUUCUCAAGUCAGGGGUGAAAGCCCAGAGCUCAACUCUGGAACUGCCCUUGAAACUGUAUGGCUUGAGUAUGAGAGAGGUGAGUGGAAUUCCCAGUGUAGAGGUGAAAUUCGUAGAUAUUGGGAAGAACACCGGUGGCGAAGGCGGCUCACUGGCUCAUUACUGACGCUCAUGCGCGACAGCGUGGGGAUCAAACAGG
rnacentral:rRNA from 1 species